rnacentral:lncRNA from 1 species
UCUAUUUUAUGGAAUGUAUUUGUCAAACUACAGGCAAGACAUGUUGGUCCUGUUAUCUGGAAAUCUAUCAUAAAAUGGCAAGUAAUGGUCUCAACAACUAAGGUAAGGGUUAUAUGAUGGUUCUUUUGUGGUUUAUAAAAAAUAUACCACGAGUCCAAGCGUGACCAACUGCCUGAUGACUUAUGACUAUACAUAUAAUGACAAAUACAUAUACAAUUUACAUGACUCCAAUAUAAUUAUAUGAUGAACUGAACAUCUGUUCCUUAAAAGUUGCAGACCAGCUACAUAAUGAAUAACAAUAAAUCUUUUGUAUAGAAUGACAGAAUAAAAGUUGAUAAGAUUAUUGUACACAUGAAAAUCGUGAAAUGUUUGUGGAAAAAUAUAAGAUUUUUAAACAAAUCUUUAAAUCAACAAUAAAAAUAUCUAAAUUAAAUAAAAUUUUCUUUAUUCUUUAAACACGUUUUUAACACCUAUAAGACCAAUAAUCAUUCACUUUAGAUUAUCAUCAAGCUUCACUUACACAAUAUUGGCCAGAGUAAGAUGACAAACUAAUAGCAUUUUAGGUGAACUUAGCGAGUAACUGCUGAAAACUUUUGAAUUAAUAAAUGUUGGAUUAAUAACUUUUAAAUUCAGAUAAAACUGUGUGUAUAGUAUUUUGUGUAGUACACCCAAUGCAAAGAUGAAAGAAAACAUCAAAACUGAAAGUUAUUCUAACUGUAUAAAAAAGUGGUACCUUUAGUCCUUCGUUUCAUAGAUGUCCAUUGUACACAUU